rnacentral:tRNA from 1 species
UGGGGUAUGGCCUAAUGGUAGGGCGGUGGACUUUGACUCCAUGUGUGUAGGUUCGACUCCUGCUACCCCAGCCA